GGGUAGCAGUAAGGGAUGGGCUUCUAGGGCAAGUAGACUAAGGGGGUCUGGGUCAUGGGCCCUGUUAGUCUCAGCAGAGGCUGGGCACCCCCUAUGUAGAGGGACCAGAGUGAGAGUGGUGUAUAACUUAUACUGUGUGGGUGGGUUGAUGUUCUCAUUUCUUUCCUGAACAUGAGCUGUCCUUGCCCACCUGCAGGGACUUGGCCCCUCUCAGCCCUCAUCCUCAGCUCAGCCUCCCUCCCAGCCCUGCUGCCCCACCUGCCUUCUCUUCAGCUCCUGUUGGCUAAGCCCCUGUCAUGCAGCAAACCCCAUGAUGGCAACUGGAGAUCAGAAAUGAGCCAAACCCUCCACCUAGUCCAGCCCUCCAGGAACUGGCCGUUAAGAGGGAGAAAGCAGAAACCAUGAAUAAAGCAGAGAUACUAGAGAGCAGCAUCCACAUGACUGCUUCCACAGAGCAACAGGGCAGCGGGAGCCCAGAGGAAUGGCACCCUUCCUGGCCUGGGAACCUAGCAAGUGAUGCUGGAGUUGAGUUUUUUUUUUUUUUUUUUUUUUUUUUGUCUCCCAAGCUGGAGUGCAAUGGUGGGAUCUCAGCUCACUGCAACCUCUGCCUCCCAGGUUCUAGCAAUUCUCCUGCCUCAGCCUCCCAAGUAGCUGGGCUUACAGUCGCCUGCCACCAUGUCUGGCUAAUUUUUGUAUUUUUAGUAGAGACAGGGUUUCACCAUAUUGGUCAGGCUGGUCUCAAACUCCUAACCUCAGGUGAUCUACCCACCUUGGCCUCCCAAAGUGCUGGGAUUACAGGUGUGAGCUGCUGCACCUGGCUGGAGUUGGGGUUUUAAGGGUAAAUUAGAAGUCAACUAGUUUCACUAUGAGAAGUGGGGAAGGGCAUUCAAGCAAAGAGAGCGGGGAGCACCCCGCCUUUUGGUAACACCAGGUUAAAGGGUACGUAUGAGGAACUGAAGGCAGUGAGACCGGCUCGUGGGAGCCAGAUUGUGAAGGGCUUUGUGUGGCAGACCAGGCAGUUGGAAUUUUGGCCUAAAAGGCUCAUGGUAGUAGCUCUAGACCUCUCUUUAGUCACAAAGGCCUUUAAAAAUCGAUUGAAAAUGACAAGCCCUCUCUCCACAAAACUUUUUGUGCAGUAUGGGAAUUCUUUGACCCUUUGAAGCCCAUCUUGGACUCCAGCUUAAAAAGCCCUCCCAUAGAGAACUAUUGAAAGGUUUUGAGGCCUGGGGUGAUCAGAGUUUGCAGUUUAAAGCAGCCCAUGGGGCAGCAUUGUGAAGAAUGAAACAGAGAGGGAGAGACAGCAGACAGGAAGACAAGUUAGGAGGCUCGGUAGGAAUCCUGUGUCAGGGGUAAGGCCAGAAUGUAGGAAGAGUCAGGUGGCACGAAGAGGACACUGUGCUUGUAAAAGACACAAGUUAGCUACGCGUGAUGGCGUGCCUGUAGCCGCAGCUAUUCAGAAGGUUGAGGCAGGAGGAUCGCUUGGACCCAGAAGUUCAAGGUUGCAGUGAGCCAAGGCUGCACCACUGCACUGUAGCCUGGGUGACAGAACAAGACUCUGUCUCUAAAAAAUGAGACACUGAGGAAGUGUGAUCGAGAGUGAUUGGAUAAGGGAGGAGACAGGAUGGCCCCAGGUUGGAUAACCCUGUCGGAUAGCCAAGUGGGAAGGAAAAUUAGUGUACGGUGUAUUUGCAGGUAGAAGUAUCGGGGGUACCUGGAUCUCUGGAUCUAGGGCCCAGAUAGCCUGGGAUGCAAAGAGAGACACAGGAAUUAUCAGUGGGAGGAUGAGGUUGAAACUUGUAGUUUAGUGGCAAUUAUUUUGGGG